CCCUCCACAUGGCUGCCCGCCUGCCUCGGGCCAUGGGCCAGGGCAGUGCACGCUCAUGGCCAGGGUCCGCAUCCUUCAGGCCUCACUGCGGAUCUGGAGAAGGGCCGAGGCCGUGCCCUGGUGACCAGCCGAGGGCAGAGGGCCAAAGGGGCCAACCUCAGAGGCCUGGGCAGGGCAGAUGAGCCGUGGAUUUCCGUCCUGGACGUUUCACAGGCAGAUGAGCCGUGGGAGGCAAGGACACAGGGCCCCGCCGCCUCCUAGGCCUGUGCCAGGCGGCCCUGGCAGUGAAGACCAACCAGAGGUGGUGACCCCCCCAAUGUGUGCAGGUGCUGGUGCUGGACUUGGAUGAACCCCUACAUCUCAGCCCCUUCCCUCAUGUCCUGGUCUUAGCAGGCAUUAGGAUCACAACCGCUUCAGGGGGCUGUGAGGACAGAACGAGGCCGUUGCCGAAAAGCACUGAGAUUGCAAACUGACGUCCACACAAAGCCAAGCAGCCAAGUGGAGGGAAUACGACUCGGCUGUGGAAAAGGACGAAGGCCUGACACCUGGUACGGCGCGGAGGAAUCUUGAAACCAGGCUGCCCAGGGAAAGCCGCCGGCGCAGGAGACGACCGGGCCUGUGAAACGUCCAGGACGGAAAUCCAGAGAGACAGAGCAGACUGCCCGGCUCGGGUGGAUGGCAGGGAGGUCGGGAGCGACCGCUAGUGGGUUCAGGGUCUCUUCUUCGAUUGUGUUUUGAACGGAUUUUUGUCUGUAGUUUUAAGGUCACAGGAUCAUUGAGCAGAAGGUACAGAGAUUUCCCCGAGGCGCCCAGCACCCCCAGGGACCGCCUUCCCCACGUCUUGCCUCCCCCCACAGGGAUACAUUUGUGCCAAUGGAGGACCCCCCGGGUUUCUGGGGUUGGGGGUUAUGGAAAGUUCUGGAAUUAGAUGGCGGCAGCAGAUGUCCCGUUCGGUGAAGAAAGAACCCCACUGAGCGAGUCACUCUCGAGGCUAGGGGUUAGGGCCUGUGAAUGAGAUCGCGAGUCCGGGCACCACCUGGUGAGCGCCCGGAAGGCGCUCCGGUGACCCGUCCCUUGCCUCCAGAGGCCGUGGUGUGAUGGAGGCCAGAGAACACUAGGAAGCGUUUGGCCCCAGACGUGAGCCAGGCGUCAUGGUCCCGGCAGCUGGGACGAGUGUCCUGAGAGCCACACACGGCCCACAGCAUGCAGGGGGGUCAGGGCCCGAGACCAGCUCGCUGCUGGCCCAGGCAGCUUCUGAAUAAGGCCCACAGGGAGGCCCCGAGCUCAGCCUUCUAGGGAACCACCCAGGAGAGGGGGCCACCAGGCAGAGAGGGGCGUUUGUGCUGAGGACUGCGGGGCCUGGGUGGCUUCAUGGGACCAGCAGGUCCUGGAGCUGCGCAGCUCGAAGGUGGGACAACCAGAGGGCUGGUGGGAGUGGAGGGGCUGAGCCCAGAGGCCACCCGCCCCCAGGGCCUCUGCUUGCUGGGGAGGGGCCACCCCCACUCCUGGGCAGAUCUGGGAGGCACCCGACUUUGGUUCAUAAACAGCUGCCCAGGGCUAUAGUAAGCCUGCCCUCGCCUGGCCCGAAGCUCUGGGUUUCUCCCAAGGGUCCUAGUGAUUGGACCGCGAAGGGACCGAGUCCUCCCACCCGCCCUCCAGGUUCCAAGAGCGAACAUGCAAGAUGGGCAAGCCUGGUUCGGGCUCCCCACCAGCGCCAGGUCAGCAGACACACCUGCAGUGGCACAUGGCAGGAACAGAGGCCGCCGCUCUGGGGAGCCCUGCCCCCUCUGCCACCCCCGGGGCACAGGGAGGGCCGGCCUGAGCCCGCAGGCUGCAGUUGAGCCCACCCCACGUGCCUCUCCCUCCACCCCUCCCCUGUCCCUCCUGCCUCCACCCUCCGUCUCCCUCGCGGUCUCUACACCUGCGGGAAAGCCGGACAGUACAAACCACCCAGAGAAGAGAAAGGAGCUGGCCACACGGGAGAGCAUGUGUGCUCCGGCUCGCGCAUCACACAUGUGCACGUACACGCACGCACACGCGUGUCCUCUGAGCCCACAAGGCAGCUCAUACUGAACCCAGACACAGGGAAGAGAGAGGGAACCAGACGAAUCACCACCACGCCGCCUCCGGGCCGCAGGUGCCGGGGAUCGCGAGCACUGUCUCAUCAGCCCUUCCGAGAAUCCGGGGGAUUCCACAGAUGAAGGAAACCAGCUUAAGGAACUUCGCCAGGAGACCCGGAAUCUGUCUCUCCCCCUGGAAUUCAGCCUCCAGAUGUGGGAUCCAAGGCAGAGCGGUGGCUGCACAUGGCUCCCUCCAGUGAAUCAGCCACAUUCCAAAGGUGCAAACACAGACGCCACGCCCU